rnacentral:ncRNA from 2 species
AAUACAAGCGGCGAUGGAGCUCGCCUAAUGCGUUGCGCUGAUGGCUUCUGCCGGGCU